UACGGAGGAUCCGAGCGUUAUCCGGAUUUAUUGGGUUUAAAGGGUGCGCAGGCGGAAGAUUAAGUCGGUGGUGAAAUUUUGCAGCUCAACUGUAAAAGUGCCUUCGAAACUGGUUUCCUUGAGUGUGGAUGAAGUAGGCGGAAUUUGUGGUGUAGCGGUGAAAUGCAUAGAUAUCACGAGGAACUCCGAUUGCGCAGGCAGCUUACUAAACCAUAACUGACGCUCAGGCACGAAGGCGUGGGGAUCAAACAGGAUUAGAUACCCCUGUAGU
rnacentral:rRNA from 1 species